AGUCGAGGGGUAUAGUUCUUCGGAAUUAGAGACCGGCGCACGGGUGCGUAACGCGUAUGCAAUCUACCUUUUACAGAGGGAUAGCCCAGAGAAAUUUGGAUUAAUACCUCAUAGUAUAAUGACUUGGCAUCAAGACAUUAUUAAAGUCACAACGGUAAAAGAUGAGCAUGCGUCCCAUUAGCUAGUUGGUAAGGUAACGGCUUACCAAGGCUACGAUGGGUAGGGGUCCUGAGAGGGAGAUCCCCCACACUGGUACUGAGACACGGACCAGACUCCUACGGGAGGCAGCAGUGAGGAAUAUUGGACAAUGGGCGCAAGCCUGAUCCAGCCAUGCCGCGUGCAGGAUGACGGUCCUAUGGAUUGUAAACUGCUUUUAUACGAGAAGAAACACUACUUCGUGAAGUAGCUUGACGGUAUCGUAAGAAUAAGGAUCGGCUAACUCCGUGCCAGCAGCCGCGGUAAUACGGAGGAUCCAAGCGUUAUCCGGAAUCAUUGGGUUUAAAGGGUCCGUAGGCGGUUUAGUAAGUCAGUGGUGAAAGCCCAUCGCUCAACGGUGGAACGGCCAUUGAUACUGCUGAACUUGAAUUAUUAGGAAGUAACUAGAAUAUGUAGUGUAGCGGUGAAAUGCUUAGAGAUUACAUGGAAUACCAAUUGCGAAGGCAGGUUACUACUAAUUGAU
rnacentral:rRNA from 1 species